rnacentral:rRNA from 1 species
GAUGAACGCUGGCGGCGUGCCUAAUACAUGCAAGUCGAACGCUGGAAAUCUAGCUUGCUAGAUUGAAGGAGUGGCGAACGGGUGAGUAAUACAUAAGCAACCUACCCACGAAGACUGGGAUAAUCUCUGGAAACGGGGACUAAUACCGGUAAGGUAAUCGGAAGGCAUCUUCUGAUUAUUAAAGGUUAAAAACACUGGUGGAUGGGCUUAUGGCGCAUUAGUUAGUUGGUGAGGUAACGGCCCACCAAGACGAUGAUGCGUAGCCGGCCUGAGAGGGUGAACGGCCACAUUGGGACUGAGACACGGCCCAGACUCCUACGGGAGGCAGCAGUAGGGAAUUUUCGGCAAUGGGGGAAACCCUGACCGAGCAACGCCGCGUGAGUGAUGACGGCCUUCGGGUUGUAAAGCUCUGUUGUAAGGGAAGAACGGUAGAUAGAGAAUAUCUAAAUGACGGUACCUUACCAGAAAGCCACGGCUAACUACGUG